UGGGGAAUCUUGCACAAUGGGGGAAACCCUGAUGCAGCGACGCCGCGUGAACGAUGAAGCCCUUCGGGGUGUAAAGUUCUUUCGACAGGAACGAUAAUGACGGUACCUGGAGAAGAAGCUGCGGCUAACUACGUGCCAGCAGCCGCGGUAAUACGUAGGCAGCGAGCGUUGUUCGGAGUUACUGGGCGUAAAGAGUGCGUAGGCGGCGAGCCAAGUUUGGUGUGAAAUCUCCCGGCGUAACUGGGAGGGUGCGCCGAAGACUGGGAAGCUGGAGUGUGGGAAAGGCUGGCGGAAUUCCUGGUGUAGCGGUGAAAUGCGUAGAUAUCAGGAGGAACACCGGCGGUGUAGACGGCUUGCUAGACCAUAACUGACGCUGAGGCACGAAAGCGUGGGUAGCAAACA
rnacentral:rRNA from 1 species